rnacentral:rRNA from 1 species
GAUGCAAGCGUUAUCCGGAAUGAUUGGGCGUAAAGCGUCCGCAGGUGGCUGUGUAAGUCUGCUGUCAAAGAGCAAAGCUCAACUUUGUAAAGGCAGUGGAAACUACACGGCUAGAGUGCGUUCGGGGCAGAGGGAAUUCCUGGUGUAGCGGUGAAAUGCGUAGAGAUCAGGAAGAACACCGGUGGCGAAGGCGCUCUGCUAGGCCGCAACUGACACUGAGGGACGAAAGCGUGGGUAGCGAACAGG